GUUUCCGUAGGUGAACUUGUGGAAAGAUCAUUG
rnacentral:rRNA from 4 species